UGGCGGCAUGCCUAAUACAUGCGAGUCGAACGAGCUUCCGUUGAAUGACGUGCUUGCACUGAUUUCGACAAUGAAGCGAGUGGCGAACUGGUGAGUAACACGUGGGAAAUCUGCCCAGAAGCAGGGGAUAACACUUGGAAACAGGUGCUAAUACCGUAUAACAACAAAAUCCGCAUGGAUUUUGUUUGAAAGGUGGCUUCGGCUAUCACUUCUGGAUGAUCCCGCGGCGUAUUAGUUAGUUGGUGAGGUAAAGGCCCACCAAGACGAUGAUACGUAGCCGACCUGAGAGGGUAAUCGGCGACAUUGGGACUGAGACACGGCCCAAACUCCUACGGGAGGCAGCAGUAGGGAAUCUUCCACAAUGGACGAAAGUCUGAUGGAGCAAUGCCGCGUGAGUGA
rnacentral:rRNA from 2 species